AGAGUUUGAUCAUGGCUCAGGAUGAACGCUAGCGACAGGCUUAACACAUGCAAGUCGAGGGGCAGCGAGGGAGUGGCAACACUUCUGUCGGCGACCGGCGCACGGGUGAGUAACGCGUAUGCAACCUGCCCACCACUUGGGGAUAACCUUGCGAAAGUAAGACUAAUACCCAAUGACGUCUCUAGAAGACAUCUGAAAGAGAUUAAAGAUUUAUCGGUGAUGGAUGGGGAUGCGUCUGAUUAGCUUGUUGGCGGGGUAACGGCCACCAAGGCGACGAUCAGUAGGGGUUCUGAGAGGAAGGUCCCCCACAUUGGAACUGAGACACGGUCCAAACUCCUACGGGAGGCA
rnacentral:rRNA from 1 species